UUUGAAAGACCAAAAUAAACCUAUAAUUUUGAUUAAAAACAAUCAUAUUUUAGUUUCAAGAAAGUAGAGAAGGAGCCAUGGGCGAUCUACUCUCAUGGCUUCUUUCCUUCUUCCUUCUCGUCGCUGUUCUCGCCAUAGUUCUCUACCAGGUCAUGUCCUUGGCGGACCUUGAAAGUGAUUAUGUCAACCCUUAUGAUUCAGCAUCCGAGAUUAACAGACUUGUGGUUCCAGAAUUUAUUCUUCAAGGAGCACUAUGCUUCCUACAUCUUGUGAUGGGUCAUUGGUUAAUGUGUCUGAUCUGUCUCCCGUACUUAUAUUAUGAUGUCAAAGUCUAUACUGAUCGUCGCCACUUGCUAGAUGUAACUGAGAUUUUCAAUCAGCUACCAUGGGAAAAAAAGAUUCGUUUGUAUAAGCUUGGAUACCUCGGGAUAGUCCUCGUCUUUUCUAUAAUCUGUAUGAUCUGGAGCAUUGUGGCCGAAUGAAGAAUGCGGAAUUGCUGAUCUCACCGAGGUACUACUGCAGAUGCAUAUUUUCUGGAACUCAUGAUGGAUGAGCUUUAAGUCAUGGUCUAGAUUUUUGUACUUGUAUUAGGUUCUCUAUGAACUGAUGGAAGUGAGAUACUUUGGUCACUUGUAUGUUGGAGCUGGCCUUGUGUGUGUUUUCUCAGUAAUGAGCCAUUUUUUCUGACAAUGAUGGUGAUUGGAUGGCCUAGAGAAUUAAUCAUCUAAGGAAAUAACUGGUUGUCUUCAACUUGGGAAAACAUAUUGACAUAGAUUAUUACUACUAUUACUAGCACUAUUAUUAUCUUUA